CGUCGUUGCUCUCCCCCCAUUUCUCCCCUCUCCUUCUCGAUUCAUCUCCACCGAACGGGACGCGACAGAGGGGAGGCGCAGCGGAGUUCUCAAAUCAGCGGCGGGUCCGCGUCGCAGGGGAGGCGCGACGGCGUUCUCAAAUCGGCGGCGGGACUGCGGGUGCCUCUCCACGAGGAAUCGUUGGUCCUCGUCGGCGUCGCAGGUACCCCACUACUUCUCCCUCUCUCUGUCUCGGCGGGGGACAAGGUCGUUUGUGUUUUGCGCUGGUGGUGGCGGACUGUGAGGGAAGGAUUCCUAGGGUUCGAACUGCGCCAAAUCUCCUCACAUGGUAUAUUUUCCAUGCCAAAAAGCUAUCACGAUAAUUUUUUCAUUUCCAGGCUUCAUACCUGAUUUGUAAAUAGUAAAAGCCACCCAAAAGCAGCAUGCAUGUAUUAACAUUUUUUAUCAUUUAUCUUACAAAAACAAUGUAAUUAAGCAAGCUAGAUUUUUGGUCUGCUAGAGAGGGCCAAAAGGAAACCGACAAUGUCAAAGAUAACACCCCCUCCACCGCCUUUAUUAACUUGAACUAGGUAUGUGCCCAUGCGUUGCUAUGGGAGUCAAAUCCUGUAAUUACGGCGAUUGCGAUUUUUUAGGGAAAGUGUGAUGACUGGGGCAUAUAAUUAUGAUAAUUGCAAAUUUUAAAAAGAAAGGUGUAACACCCAUUGGAUCAUGUAAUUAUCGUGAUUGAAUUGAAUCGUCACUCGCCAACCGAGGAAAAAAGAUGAGGUGGAUGGACGAAGAUGGGCAGAACACGGUCCGUCGGCAGGAAAAGGAACCUUAGGUUCUUUUUAGAUAGUAGAGAUACCGAAAAAGUUCAAGAGUUAACAUCUUCUCUUUCAUGUCAAACAGAUUUUUGGGUUGUAAACUUUGUUGUUUCCUAAAUAAUGAAAUUAUAGGUUAUGCUA